rnacentral:lncRNA from 1 species
GUUUAGUGCUUACUCAUGGCCAGCCUUGUCCCUGCUCUGCCUGGUGAGGUCUGAACUGCCAGGUUCUACCAGCUCCGUCACCCAGGCCCACCCAGGUCUGGCUGGUUCCUGCAGCGGCUCUAAGAUGUGACUCUGCCCCUGGUUCUGGAGACUACAGGUCAUCAGCAAAUGUACUGAGCAUGAAGACAAGGUUGCAAAGGGUAGAUUGGGUCUACCCAGGAAGCAAAGCUCAGGUUUCUGAGGGCUCCUGGAUCUCCCGACUCCCCCCACCCCACCCCCAGUCUCUCACAGAUGUGAACAGGCUGUCUCAUGUUUCUGCUGCGAUGGUUAUGAGCUGCUCCCAUUGCUAUGACAGACUGGGAGCCAACACAAAUGGUUCUUCCCUACAGUUGUUUCUAUCGGGUAUUUUGUCAAAGCAACAGGGACUCAUCACAGGCAGAUAAUGCAAGCUCAGAGAAUCGCUGUCCUUAUCCCUCUCUAUCACCCCGGCCCGAGGACAGAAGACUACAUUUUCUGCACCCCAAGGAGCUGGAACAAUGUCCUCUGAACCCAUCCAUGCAGUAAGGUUCCUGUAGUCACUGCUCAUGUUCCUGGAAACACAGAGGUUAACCCAUCAACGAUUAUUUUUGUUCUUCAGGGAAAAUCCACCAGUGACUGGCAGAUGGAACCCAGGGCUUUUGCAUACACUGGCUCAGCUAGGAGGGGAAUGGAUAAGGACACAGGACCUCCCAUCUCUGUGGGGGUGUGGACGUGCAUCUGGCUACGCAGUCCCAGCUGUCGGACUACAGCAGAAGCCUGAGAUCAGCAGAGACCCCACCCAGUCCCCAGCAACCUGUACAGACACUCUGUGUCCUGUGGUAAAGCACACAGCUGAACUGUUC